UGAUCAUGGCUCAGGACGAACGCUGGCGGCGUGCUUAACACAUGCAAGUCGAACGAUGAUGCCCAGCUUGCUGGGUGGAUUAGUGGCGAACGGGUGAGUAACACGUGAGUAACCUGCCCCUGACUCUGGGAUAAGCGUUGGAAACGACGUCUAAUACUGGAUAUGAUUGCUGGCCGCAUGGUCUGGUGGUGGAAAGAUUUUUUGGUUGGGGAUGGACUCGCGGCCUAUCAGCUUGUUGGUGAGGUAAUGGCUCACCAAGGCGACGACGGGUAGCCGGCCUGAGAGGGUGACCGGCCACACUGGGA
rnacentral:rRNA from 1 species